AUCCAGCUGAUGAGUCUCAAAUAGGACGAACCUCGUGUCCUUGAU
rnacentral:hammerhead_ribozyme from 1 species